GCUCAAUUCAGCAGCACAUGUACUAAAAUUGGGAUGAUAAGAGAGAUUAACAUGGCCACUGCACAAGGAAGACACACAAAUUUAUGAAGUGUUCUGUACGAAA
ensembl:snRNA U6 U6 spliceosomal RNA